AAAUAAAAAUUUUUGUUUUUUCUAAAAAUUCUAGCGUUAACUUCAAAAUUUCUUGUUGUAUCAAUCUUGGUCGUAUUGGACACUAGGACACUUGGACAUUAAAAUGUAGCAUCCAAAUAAUUAUAACAAUUAAGUUUGUUAUAUAUAUUAUAUUUCUGUUGAUUUGAACACAUCUCACAUCAUCACAAAUUUUAAAAAUAAGGAGGCACCAUUCUAUCCAUCCGUGCCAAAAGAAUAGGAAAACUAUACCUCAAUUUUAAACCAUAUAUAAACUUUCAUAUAAACUAAGUUAAGAAAGAGCAUUUCGAUUUAAGAUUCUUUCUCUAUAAAAUUUCUUUACACUGGAUAAAAAUUUCCACAUAUUAUUAAAAUGGAGUGAAGUUAAGGAUACGUGUUGUUUCAUCAUUUAUUAUAAUAUUAGAAAGACUAACUAAAACGAAAACUAUUAGAACUAUUAUGCUUUUAACCUUAUCAAAAUCUUAUAUCCACUUCUUUUUAAACUUUUUUCAAGGAGGCACCAUCCAAUCCAUCCGUGGCAAAAAAAUAUGUUAGGAAAACUAUGUCUCAAUUUUAAACCAUAUAUAAACUUUCAUAUAAACUAAGUUAAGAAAGAGAUUCUUUCUCUAUAAAAUUUCUUUACACUGGAUAAAAAUUUCCACAUAUUAAAAUGGAGUGAAGUUAAGGAUACGUGUUGUUUCAUUAUACACUACUAUAGAUAAUGAUUCCUUCGACUUCGUAAAUUUUUAUAAUACACAUUUCAUUUAUAAAAAUCUUACUAUAUAUCCUUAUCUUAUGCAAGUUGCUUUGGUUAACAGUACUAUAUUAAUGUAUAAUAUUAAUUAUUUAAUAAAAGACCAGACUUUUUUUGAAGAGAGUUUCUCUUUUGGUUAUCAACGGAUAUAAUGAAUGAUUGACUGGUGGAAGGAAGCACAUACAAUAUUUAAAAGCAAUUACAAUGAAAGCAUAUACCUAUAUACAUGUAUAUAUACAUGUGUGAAAAUUUAUAGUACAAAUCUAUAAUGAAAAAAUAACCCCAAAAGAAUUACUUUAAUUAAAACUCUCAAGUGGAUCAAAGUAAAUCUGUUGAAAUCAAUUAAGCAUAUCACUUAAGAUAUGUAUACCUGAUGAUUUUACAGGAUUUAUUUAAGCGAUCUUUUAUGGGAUCAUUACUUAAUUUGUGUUAAUUAACUAAUUAAUAUUAGUUUCAUUUGAUCAUGAUAAAAACUUUCUGAAAAAUAAAUUU